rnacentral:rRNA from 1 species
GAGUUUGAUCAUGGCUCAGAUUGAACGCUGGCGGCAGGCCUAACACAUGCAAGUCGAGCGGACGAGGGUAGCUUGCUACCUGAGUUAGCGGCGGACGGGUGAGUAACACGUAGGCAUUUGCCCAGUAGUGGGGGAUAACGUUCCGAAAGGAACGCUAAUACCGCAUACGCCCCAUGGGGGAAAGCAGGGGAUCUUCGGACCUUGCGCUAUUGGAGGAGCCUGCGUCGGAUUAGCUAGUUGGUGGGGUAAGGGCCUACCAAGGCGACGAUCCGUAGCUGGUCUGAGAGGAUGAUCAGCCACACUGGGACUGAGACACGGCCCAGACUCCUACGGGAGGCAGCAGUGGGGAAUAUUGGACAAUGGGGGCAACCCUGAUCCAGCCAUGCCGCGUGUGUGAAGAAGGCCUUCGGGUUGUAAAGCACUUUCAGUGGGGAGGAAAAGUUGGUGGUUAAUACCCGCCGACCGUGACGUUACCCACAGAAGAAGCACCGGCAAACUCCGUGCCAGCAGCCGCGGUAAUACGGAGGGUGCGAGCGUUAAUCGGAAUUACUGGGCGUAAAGCGCACGUAGGCGGCGUGUUAAGCUGGAUGUGAAAUCCCCCGGGCUCAACCUGGGAACUGCAUCCAGAACUGGGCAGGCUAGA